CUUCAGUCUCCGCAAUUAAGUCGUACAGCAGGCAUGCCCCCUGUUGCAGCUGCGCUGUCAAUCUCAUUUUGAAGCACAAAUGAUCUUAGACCCAGUGUUUGACAUGGGGUUUUAACACCAAAGAAGGCAAUUCUGCAACUUCAAAUGAGCCUAAUUGGCUGAGCGCUCGGGCGUUCACUCAAGCUGCUUCAGUCCAUCAGAGAGAGAUUUCCCGCUAAUUGAACUGCUCAGAAGGAAAAGGACCACGAGGAAUCACGAGUCUCUUUCCGUCUCUUACCCUCCGAAGAGGAGCCUGUCUCUGGAUCUCGGGAUUUUCCACUGAAGAAUCAGAAGAAAGUGGGGAGCAUGGCUUUUGCCAAGCGGUGCCAUGUGCGCACCCAGGAUCCGAACCGGCGAACCCCAGGUGCCGAGAAGGGGAAUGUGCACACUUAACUGCUGCGCCACCAGGCCAGCCCCUGGGACAAGCUUUUCCAUGAGACGUUAGUUGUGCAAACUUAAAGCAGUGAUUAUAACCAAAGGAUGCUUGAGACCAGUGGCUCCAAGGAG
rnacentral:lncRNA from 1 species